rnacentral:rRNA from 1 species
AUGACCCGGGUGCCACCACCGCCACCACCGGGAGGCAUGGAUUCAUGCGUGCUCCGGUUGCGGGUUCGUGUCCUCAAGGUGCACAAGAGACCUCGUCUCCACUCCAAGGCCAUUCGUGCUGCCAUAGAUUGGCGUGCUCGCAUGUGUUGGCUGGACGGCGGCGACACUGACCUCCUCCGCCGGGUCUCCCAAGAGGCCGUGCAUCCUGCCGUGACCACCUCUACUGCGCGACGGUGGUGGCCGACCUGCAAUGCGACCGCUGCAUCGCCAGUAACCUCUUCGCAAUGGCAACACAAGCAGGAACCUCGGCUACUCCUCGUUCAAGUCCCCAAGUGGCAUGCCCCGAUGCUCCCCUCGCUCUGGGCACCCAAUGCCAGGCAGGCCGUGGAUGCCCCGGACCUCAAGGCCGGCCGUGCUACAACAGCUGCUCCUGCCACGGCCAUGCUCAACUUCGCUCCAGUUCAGUUGCCGCGGGUGAGACACUUGCCUCCAUGCUUGGGUGAUUCUACCUGCUCACUUAGUAUCAUACUUGAAUCUAUGAACGAAUUUCACAAGUUUGGAUGCAUGAUAGAACUUGUGGUGAACCUGUUACAGUGA